rnacentral:rRNA from 1 species
AUGGCUGUCAAAGGCGAGCAGCAGCCACCGCUGCACAUCCUCUUCUUCCCGUUCCUCGCCCCCGGCCACCUCAUACCGAUCGCCGAUAUGGCCGCGCUCUUCGCCGCCCGUGGCAUCAGGUGCACCAUCCUCACCACGACCGUCAACGCUGCCAUCAUCCGCUCCACCGUCGACCAUGCCAACGACGCGUCCCAUGGCACCGGCUGCCCGGCCAUCAACAUCUCCGUCGUGCCUUUCCCUGACAUCGGGGGCCUCCCGCCGGGCGUGGAGAACGGCAUGGCCCUUAAGUCCGACGUGGACCGCGAAAGGUUCUUCGAAGCGGCGCAGCCCUUCGAGCGAUUCUUGGUUGACAACUGCCCCGACGCCGUCGUGUCCGACAGCUUUUGGCACUGGUCCGCGGACGCCGCCGCGGAGCACGGCGUCCCGCGCCUCGCGUUCCUCGGCACCAGCAUGCUGGCGCGGUCCUGCACCGAAAGCAUGCUGCGCAACAACCCGCUGGAGGCUGCUCCCGACGACCUCGACGCCCUCGUUCUGCUGCCGGGGCUGCCGCACCGCGUCCAGCUCAGGCGGAGCCAAAUGAUGAUCGACCCGGCGAAGCGGCCUGACCACUGGGCGCUCUUCCAGAGCAUCAACGCCGCGGACCAGAGGAGCUUCGGCGAGGUAUUCAAUAGCUUCCACGCGCUGGAGCCGGACUACGUCGAGCACUACCAAAGGGCGCUCGGCCGGCGAGCGUGGCUCGUCGGGCCCGUCGCGCUCGCCAGCAAGGACAUGGCCGGGAGGGGCACGGACGCGCUCUCGCCGGACGCGAACAGCUGCCUACGGUGGCUGGACACGAAGCCCGCCGGCUCGGUGGUGUACGUCUCCUUCGGCACGCUGACCAGUUCCUCGCCGGCGGAGAUGCGCGAGCUCGCCCGCGGCCUCGCGCUCUCAGGCGUGGAUUUCGUGUGGGUGAUCGGCGCCGCAACCCCAGCCCCAGACUCUUCAGAGUGGAUGCCCGGAGGCUUCGCCGAGCUGAUGGCGCGCGGCGACCGGGGCUUCAUCAUCCGAGGCUGGGCGCCGCAGUUGCUCAUCCUAGACCACCCUGCGGUCGGUGGGUUCUUGACGCACUGUGGUUGGAACUCGACGCUGGAGGCCGUGAGCGCUGGUGUGCCGAUGGUCACGUGGCCGCGGUAUGCAGACCAGCUCCACAACGAGCAGCUCGCCGUGGAGGUGCUCAGGGUGGGUGUCAGCGUCACCGGCGGCAAGGACUACGCGUCUUCUGGGGUGGUGAUGGGAGAGGCGAUCGCUGAAUCCAUUGUUAGACUGAUGGGCAACAGCGACGAGGGCGACGCGAUACGAGAGAAGGCCAGGGAACUCUGCAUGAAGGCAAGGUGCGCGGUGGAGAACGGUGGAUCUUCGUACAAUGACGUGGGCAGUUUGAUGGACGAGUUGAUGGCUCGUAGGACGGCGUAUAGGAACGCCGUGAAGGUCGGAGAAGGCAUCCGGCCAACUGGUUGA